AUUUUAUGGUUGGUUUGCCACAAUAAGCUAGCUACCAAAAGUCGGUUAUGUUGUUUGGGCUUCAUCACGAACAAUAGGUGUUGUUUAUGUCCUAGUAUAGAAACGACUUCUCAUCUUUUCUUUGAUUGUGAUGUUACUAGGCGGAUUUGGUGUGAAGUUCUUGUUUGGCUUCAAAUGCAUUAUCAUAUGUCUAAAGCUUGGGAGGAGGAACUUCAAUGGGCCAUCAAGUGGGGGAAAGGCAAAGGUUGGAGAGCUUGUUUGAUUAAACUUGUCAUUGCUGAAACCAUCUACGGAGUUUGGAUAUAUCGUAAUAACAUUUGUUUUGGUUCAGGUUUGAAUUUGUGUCAUGUGACCAAAACUAUUAUCGAUACUAUUGUUUUUAGGGGUUAG